GCUUCUGAUUUAUUUUCAUAAGUUCUCCUAAGCUCAAACAACAUUGCACUAAGUAACUUGUUAUUAGAAAAGCCUCAGGAUGUCUAGUAAGUGUUACUAAGCCAAGAUCUCUGUAAAUCUACUAGCACUAAUUCACUCUCCAGACGUCUAGUCCUGGGCGUGAUGGAGGGGGUAUUGAGAUCCUUAUUAUUCCACCCACAUUAGUCCAUACUUCAGAUAUUCAAUCAUGAAUGUGAUGCAGUAUUUUGACAGUCCCAAAUCUACUAAAGAUAUGGCUUUGGAAGUUCUUAUAAGGUUAGGGUAUUCCUUGCCUAUUAAGCCAAUUUUGUGAGGAUGACUUAGGCUUGAGCCCAAAUUCAAAGAAUAUCGAUACCAACAAGGGUCUGUUAGAUGCUACUACAGAAGAUAAUAUACCAAUCCUUAAACAAAGAAACAAACCAUGAUAUAUAAGGAAAUAUCGAAAACAAUCUUCAGAUUAUCUACAUUACUCUAAAAUAAAAUCAAGAUAUUAUCACAUGUUUUAACAUAUUAUACUGUUUAGGAGGUUGUCAAAGAAAACAUAUUAUACCGUUUAGGAGGUUUUCAAAGAAAAUCAAAUAUCAUGCAAUAAACUUGUUGAAAAUUUGGAGCCUAACUCAUCCUUACAAAACCGGUCUGUUAGAUGCUACUACAAAAGAUAAUAUACCAAUCCUUAAACAAAGAAACAAACCAUGAUAUAUAAGGAAAUAUCGAAAAAAAUCUUCAGAUUAUCUACAUUACUCUAAAAUAAAAUCAAGAUAUUAUCACAUGUAUUAACAUAUUAUACUGUUUCGGAGGUUUUCAAAGAAAAUCAAAUAUCAUGCAAUAAACUUGUUGAAAAUUUGGAGCCUAACUCAUCCUUACAAAACCGGCUUGUAAGGUGAGGAGUGUGUCCUCUUUAUAAACUCUGAUCAAGCUUCCUAUCUAACCAAUGUGGGACUAAAUCCACCCCCUCAAAGACAAGCCAACAUAAGGCAACUAGGGGCAGAUCGCAAUUAAGGUGGCACACCCCCUCACGCUCGGGGCGGGAUUUCCAACAAAACUUAUUAAAAAUUUAAGAUAUUGUCAACAAAAAAAAUAAAAUUAAGAUAAAUAAUAG
rnacentral:lncRNA from 1 species